rnacentral:rRNA from 1 species
CGCCCUUUGAUCCCGCCGGACCCCACUGCUAUCGGGAUAGGACUAAGACAUGCUAGUCGUGUGCCUCAGCCAAAACGAGGCACGGCGCACAGCUCAGUAACACGUGGUUAACCUGCCCUUAGGACGAGAAUAACCCCGGGAAACUGGGGCUAAUGCUCGAUAGGUGAAGAACUCUGGAAUGAGUCUUCACUUAAAAGAGUCUGCGUUAUGCUCGUAGAUUUCGCUUAAGGAUGGGGCCGCGACCGAUCAGGUGUGUUGGU